ensembl:lncRNA
AACACUGCCAUGACGACAAGUCAUAGAGGGAAGGACUCUCUCUAUUCAGUAUGGUUCUAGAAAGGUUAGAGGGACGUCUACAGGAACUAGAUGCUGACAGACCACGUCUGAAAAGGCAAGCACAGAGCAGAGAAUAAACUCGGAGAGGAGGGACAGGUUUCGACCGAGCUCUUUCGAACAGCAAGGGCACAUUACUUUAACGUCCAAAAUCAGUGUCACGAACAGACAACCAAGUGCUUUGAUGUGCAAAACUUGAAAGCACCGUCCUGACAAAGAACAACAAAACCAGAUUACAAUGGAAAUAUCCUGAGGAAUACCUACAAACAUUUCCGACCCGAGGAAUAGGAGACACACUCUUGAUUUUCAGAUGCAAUUUUCUCCAAAGUAUUUCCCACAAGGAUACAAUGUAUCCAUUAUCAAGGACCCCUACUGGAGAAGCGUAACUGGUAAAAUGUUGCCUAUACCAAGGCAGAUCAUGAUUCAGCAAAGUUGAACACUGGUAUUGUGGUAAGCUCUCCACGCUAUACUUGGGUAUGGAAUUACAUAAUAAAAUAUAUAGACAAUA